rnacentral:rRNA from 1 species
GACAGAGGCCUCGAGCGUUAGGCGGAAUCACUGGGCUUAAAGCGUGUGUAGGCGGGCCCGUAAGUGUCUUGCGAAAUCCCACGGCUCAACCGUGGAACUGCUGGGCAUACUGCGGGUCUUGGGCCAACUAGGGGCAGCCGGAACAAGCGGUGGAGCGGUGAAAUGCGUAGAUAUCGUUUGGAACGCCAAUGGUGAAAACAAGUAGCUGGGGAUGUGCCGACGCUGAGACACGAAAGCCAGGGGGGCGAACGGG